ACUGUGGGAGGUUAAGCCAACAUUGGAUGCCAUGCCUUCCUGCAAGGGGAGUGAUUUUAACUAUGGCUAGAUUUGGUCCAUUAACGCUCCGUGAAGGAUUUGGGGUCUGUGUUCCUGAGGCUUAUCGGGCCAUGGCUUCUUUUCUUGUGAUGCCUUUGGCUGGAUUAUCCAGAUAAUUCUUCACCGAAUGAAUCGAGCUGCAGUCCCUCCGCUUCAGUUUUCGGAGUGGUUUGUGAAAGGCCUUGAGUUUUCAGGGACCUCCAGCUUUGGAGACCUACUCGUGCAGAUCCUGGGGAGUCUUACCAGGGACACAUCCAUGAGGCUGACGACGCCAGGCCCAUCCAGGUCCUGUCUCCUCGGAGCCCAGGCUAUAAGUGCUCUGAUGUGGCCCCGGGCACCUUUCCAGUUCCUUGGGCGGCGAAGGCCCGACCCCACCAGCUGUUUACAAUCCAUCAUCCAGCAGUUUCCAUGUGGUUGUCAUGCUGCUUGUGACGGGAAAGAGAAUCUCGGUGUCCAAAUACUGGACUUGCAGCUUCAUAAAUCAGGAAGCUCUCGCCAUUCAAAUCAUCAUAUUGACAGCAAAUUUGCAUAAUUUUCCUAGUUUGCUUUGCGGUUGAGGUCAGGUCUCUCCUGUUCUCAGUGGGUGGCCCCUGGGAAGCGGCCAAGUGGGGGCCUUAAACUGGGGGGGGCAUCAGAGGCGCUUGGAGGGGUGAGAGAAGCCUGGGCGGAUGUGUGUGGGGGGUCUCUCUGGGGAGCAGCUUGCCAGGCCUCAGUGACAAUGCCUACCCACGGUGGCACAGCCCAGGAGAGCUGGGGUCUUCCCCGGAGACAGCAGGGACCUUCCUCCAGAGCAGGGUCUCAUGCCAACUGAUAAAUGGGCAGAGGCCAAAAGCGGGUAGUUCAGAGCUGUGACAUCCAAAUGGCUACUACGUAUAUGAAAAAUGAUUUUCUCACCAGGAAUCAGAAAUGCAAAGCCAAGCAAUACGGCCCUCGUGUGUCAUCCUCUGGGCUGAUGGUGUGACGGCCGAGAGCCUUGUUCAGCUCUGCCUCCUGGGACGGAACCGGCCGGUGUCCUUCCACACACUCCUUUGGGCCUGUCCACGCUGCUCUUGUCAAGCUGUCCCCAGGACAACGGAAAUGGACAACAGCGCUGCGCCUCUCGUGGCGCUGCGUGUCAUCAGAAAGAGAAGAUGCUGUUUCUGGCCAACAUCGGAGCCAAGGACGGCCAGUUGCUCUGUUGCCUGGAGAUACAGCAGGGAGGCUGCGUGAAGGCCCAGGCGGAGACCCCUGGAGCCCCAGCGCCUGCAAGAGGCCGGAAGGUCCUGCCCCGGAGGGUCUGGAGGGGCCUUGCUUUUUGGCUUCUAGAGUCCAGAUCUGUGAGGGGAAAAUUUCAGUUAUUUGAAGCUACUCAGGUUGUGGUACUUGGUCACUGCAGCCCUAGGCAACAAAUAAGGCAGAAAAAUGUUUAAUUAAAACGGUGAAAGGUGAAAAAAAAAAAGGGGGGGGGCGCAGUUCCCAUUGUGGCGCAGUGGUUAACGAAUCCAACUAGGAACCAUGAGGUUGCGGGUUCGGUCCCUGCCCUUGCUCAGUGGGUUAAGUUUCCGGCGUUGCCGUGAGCUGUGGUAUAGGUGGCAGACACAGCUUGGAUCCUACUUUGCUGUGGCUGUGGUGUAGGCCGGUGGCUACAACUCCGAUUGGACCCCUAGCCUGGGAACGUCCAUAUGCCGCAGGAGCGGCCCAAGAAAUAGCAAAAAGACCAAAACAAAAACAAAAACAGUGAAAGGUGGAAAAAUCUCCAGGGGACAGGCCACGUGGGGGACCCUCCCUGGGCCUCACCCCUUGCCCCCCGCCCCCGCAGUGUGGCACUGGCUGUGCUGUCCCUGCUGGUCCUCUAGGCUCCUCCUGGCUCUGCCACCUCCCGGUGUCUGAUACUGACAAGGAGCACGAGGGCCGCCCUGGGGGAACUUGUCUUGCGGAAUCAAGCUUGUUUCUUGGUGCUGA
rnacentral:lncRNA from 1 species